UCGGAGUCACGAUAUAACCAGCAAUCUGUAACACUAAUAUUAUCUUUUGAAAUCAAUCUCUAUUUAUAACAUGAUGUACGUCCAGGACAAGAUCGAGGAUUACAGCGAGGAGCUGUUCAACUUGCUCGACACGGGCGCACACAUCUACUUUUGUGGACUGAGGGGCAUGAUGCCCGGAUUUCAGGUCACCCUGCAGAGAGUGGCGGAAUCUAGAGGAGAGAAAUGGGAUGAGAAGCUUGCCAAGCUCAAGAAGAACAAGCAGUGGCACGUCGAGGUUUACUGAGCGCGAGACGGCGGAGGGAUUGCCACGGAACCUGUUUCUACCGAUAUCUCAGGUGCGGGAUCCAUGAAAGGCUACCAUGUGAGGCUUCCGGUUGGAGGCCUCGCCUACGAGGAGUUGUCAAUUUUUAUGUUGUAGAGGAUGUGUUUAGCGAACUAUUCGUUGAAUUUAUGCCACAAGCGACCCUGAGUUGCUGUGGAGCUAGUCCAUUUACGUGGAUUGAUGAGUUACCGUAUGUUCUGCCCUGAGUUUGUUGAAGUGGCUCGGAGGAGUUGCUCUAUUUUUAGAACUUUUGAAGAUGUAAAUGAAGAAUUGCUUCUUGUUAAAGGUUCCGUUGGAAGCAUUUUAUUUUGGAGCUUUGGCGUU